rnacentral:misc_RNA from 1 species
GAUAAAUAAUUACCGUGGACGCGAGGAAGCCCAAGUCACAGCCAGCGUUGCGUCCCUGAACGAGCCUAGGGAACUGAUGGCGUCUUUCCGAUUGGGUGUGUGUCAAAAUUUCCACCGAAAUUCAUGACUUAAGUGCGUUAAUUCCAUUCAACACAAAGCGGGUGUGGAGUCAUGGCGUCGUCAUGGGAGAGCUUCAUUGCUGCCUCCACCUCGGCAGCCCCAGCACACACCAGCGUUGCAGCCACGCCCGCUGCAGCUGCUGCGUCACCCGGUGGGGGUCCCAUCAUUACGCCAGCAGCCACGUUGCCCCAGCAGAGUUAUAACCCCUCAGACCCUGCCCACCACCAGCCCCCACACCAUCCCCCUGUCACGCACUAUCAGCAACAGCCACAACACCUACACGUUGGACAGCCUCCGCACCAAGGGAUCAGGGUCAACAUUCCUUCCCAGGUAACCAUUGGGAGUAGUGGGCCAACGACACCAGUUCCGCAGACUCCUGUGGGAGGCCCUCCCCCGUUCGUUGCCCCUGUGCACGAGACGGAUCUUCCACAGGAAAUGCUGGUUGCUGGAUGGAGGAAAUUCUGGAGCAAAAGGGAACAGCGUGUGUACUUUUGGAAUCGCACCACAGGGGAGUCACUAUGGGACAUGCCACCAGGGCAUGCCUCUCAUGCUUCACAACCAUCUGGGCAGCAUCCUCCACCUCAGCAGCAGCAGUAUGAUCCUAUAAGUGAUCCGCUAGGGAUACAAAAUCCUACCAACGGAAGCAGUUCCAGUGCCAACAACUGUCAGAGUGGCAGUUCAGCAACCAACAGUAGCAGCCAUCCGGGAAGCAGCACCGCGGCCCAAGUCCCCUCCCCUGCUCCAUCAGUCAUAUCAGGAGUCAAGCGCCGAGCAUCUGAGGAGGCUUCUGGAGCUCCUGUACCUAAGAAAUUUGUUUUGGCAGGCCCAUGGGAUUUAGAAAUUCCAACCAAUGUCAUCAUGUUUGAGCGUCCGCCAAUCACCUUGCCACAACCGCAUCCCAGUGUAGAAGUUCUGCGGGGACAGCUCGUGUCAAAGUUACGCUCAGGAUACCAGGAAAUGUGUCUGGCGAGACAAGGCAUUGAUGCGCCAAGAGAUUCCUUUAGUCGGUGGUUGAUGGAACGGAAGGUGGUUGAUCAAGGAUGGGAUCCACUACUUCCCAGUCAGUGUUUUCCUGAAGUUAGCCAGUCCAUGUAUAGAGAAAUCAUGAAUGACAUCCCAAUUAAACUGCAGCGGCCAAAGUACACAGGUGAAGCCAGGAAACAGCUCUCUAAAUAUGCAGAAGCAGCGAAAAGAAUGAUUGAGACGAGCCGGAAUGCAAGUCAAGAAAGCAGAAAAAUUGUUAAAUGGAAUGUGGAAGACACUUUUCAAUGGUUGCGGAGAACAAUUGGUGCCACUUUUGAUGACUACAUGGAAAGACUGGCACAUCUCAAGAGACAAUGUCAACCUCAUCUCACUGAGGCAGCCAAGCAGAGUGUGGAAGGCAUCUGCACAAAGAUCUACAACCUGUCUAUGGAACAUGCCAAAAAAAUUAGAGAGAAACACCUGCAGAUUUUGGAGGAAAACAAUAUCAGAGAAGUGGGAGUGCCAGCUGUCAGUGGGUUGCGGAAAGUUUGGUGUUACCCGGUACAAUUCACAACACCUAGUCCUCGGCCGCCUCCGAUAGACUUUAUGCAAGACAAAGAUACAACCUGUUUAAGAUAUAAUGGAGAAGCUCUUAGAAUCAACACACAGUACUUUCAUAAAUUGGAGCAGUUAUAUCGUUACAACUGUUUUGAUGACCGCAAAUUUGAAUUAUUUUUGCCUAGAGUAUGGUGUUUAUUGAAAAGAUACCAAACCCUCCUCGGGACCAGCCCUAACGAGGGCCAUGGGACACAAGCAGGACUACCAGUGACAGUUCUGGAGUGCCUACACAAACACUUUGGUGUUACGUUUGAGUGCUUUGCAUCUCCACUGAACUGUUAUUUCAGACAAUUCUGUUCUGCUUUCCCAGAUACAGACUCUUACUUUGGAUCAAGAGGACCAAUUUUAGACUUCAAACCAGUUUGCGGUUCCUUUGAGGCCAACCCUCCCUUCUGUGAAGAACUAAUGGAAGCAACUGUGCGUCACUUCGAGAAACUGUUGUCGGAGUCACAUGAACCGCUCUCCUUCAUUGUGUUUGUACCAGAGUGGAGGGAACCAGCUCCCUCCGCUCUCCUGCACUUGGAAGCCUCCAGAUUUAACAGAAAGCAAGUUGUUCUACUUCCACUUGAACAUGAAUACAGACAUGGUUUCCAACACUUCAUGUCAAAGGCUGAGGUAGUGUUGAAGAGUGCCCACGGAACAGUUGCUGUCUGGCUUCAGAAUGAUGCCGGAUUUUCACGCUGGGGCCCUACCCCAGACAGAGUUGAUGCCCUAUUAGAAGCCUACAGACCGGGCCGUGAGCGGGACCGUGACCGCCAGGAGAUGCUUUCCCCACCGCGGAGGGACUCGAGUGCUGAAGCUCCUCCUCCCUAUGUUGAUGUAAAAGCUGCCGGAAGCUCUCCACUAGCCCCUCCCACAGCCCCGUCAACUGCUGUUCCCUCUGCCAUCUUAACCACCUCCCCUUCCCCAGCUGUGCCUCCCAUUGCUCCAACGAGCCCUGCUACAACCACCACCAUCUAGAAAUCAUGGACCAACAGCAGUCACAGUCGAAAACGCUCGGCCAAAAGGAACACAAAGUCCCAUGUACAGAUUUAUUCUCCUUCGUCGGCUCCUUUUUCGUCUGGGAAAAUGUUGCUUGAAAUAAAGUGACAUGGAUGAUUGAUAAAGGAAAGCUGCAAGUGGAGGAGUUUCAGUUGAAAUCUGUUUGUCUGGAUAUGAUAAAAAGAAAAGAAACGGAGAACAGAGAGACUAAAAAAACACAGAGAAUAUAUAAAACUGUAAUAUUAUCCAAAUGAGGAAAUUAAUAAUGUCUUAUAAGGAAUAGCAUUGUACAAAACCUUAGAUCCUUGACUCGAAUCCUGCUCUUACAAAGUCAACGCUUCAGAGGAAAACUUAAAACAGCGAUGUAUUUACCUAGAAUGUUACAUCUAGUGCCAUAGAUCUAAUAGUUUUGUGUCUCUAGAACAGAUGCAUGUAUCUUGGAAGUUAAUAUGAGUUUUGUAUGUUAUUAUACUAUUUAAAAUAUUGAGGGCAUCCCGUUCCUCUCUCUGCCAAUUUGAACUAUGAACUCCUGGGUGUGAACAUCUUAUGGAUGUGAAUGUUUAAGAAAAUUAUUCUUAUACUGUAAAAAAGAAACUCUUAUCUCACUCCAUUAGCGUUGUAAUUUAUGUCUGCAAAAGCAAAAUAAAAUAGAUUUUGAUACAUU